rnacentral:rRNA from 1 species
AUGUCGUCGUCGGAGUUGCUAUGCAGCGGCCCCGACACCGCCGGAGCUGCUAUGCAGCAGUCGUCGAGGCCGCCGGAGCUGCGAUGCAGCGGCCGCGAUGCCGCCGGAGCUUCCAUGCAGUGCUUGUCGAUGCCGCUGGAGGUGCAAUGCAGCGCCCGCGACGCCGCCGGAGCUGCAAUGCAGCGGCCAUGUCAUCGUCGGAGUUGCUAUGCAACGGCCACGACACCGCCAGAGCUGCAUUCAGCUGCCGCGACGCCGCCGGAGCUGCCAUCAGUGCUCGUCGAUGCCGCUAGAGGUGCGAUGCAGCGGCCGCGACGCCGCUGA